rfam:Mumia flava strain MTSC 201 Contig114, whole genome shotgun sequence.
UCUUAGGGGUGCUAGGGUUCCGGUUCAUCGAACGUCUGGUCCGAGAGCAGCCCGGUGCGGGUUCGUCCGAUCGCGAGACCGGACGCACACGCGCUACACGGCGGGACAAAAGCCCGGGAGAU